UUUAAUUGAAGAGUUUGAUCAUGGCUCAGAUUGAACGCUGGCGGCAGGCCUAACACAUGCAAGUCGAGCGGUAACAGGAGAAAGCUUGCUUUCUUGCUGACGAGCGGCGGACGGGUGAGUAAUGUAUGGGGAUCUG
rnacentral:rRNA from 1 species